UGGGGAAUAUUGCGCAAUGGGGGAAACCCUGACGCAGCAACGCCGCGUGAAUGAAGAAGGUCUUCGGAUCGUAAAGUUCUAUCAGCAGGGAUGAAUAUUGACAGUACCUGACUAAGAAGCCCCGGCUAACUACGUGCCAGCAGCCGCGGUAAUACGUAGGGGGCAAGCGUUAUCCGGAUUUACUGGGUGUAAAGGGUGCGUAGCCGGAAAUGCAAGUCAGAUGUGAAAGCCCGAAGCUCAACUUCGGGACUGCAUUUGAAACUGUAUUUCUAGAGUGCAGGAGAGGAAAGUGGAAUUCCUAGUGUAGCGGUGAAAUGCGUAGAUAUUAGGAGGAACGCCAGUGGCGAAGGCGACUUUCUGGACUGUAACUGACGGUGAGGCACGAAAGCGGUGGGGAGCAAACAGGAUUAGAUACCCUGGUAGUCCACGCCGUAAACGAUGAAUGCUAGGUGUCGGGGGUCGAACCGUCGGUGCCGAA
rnacentral:rRNA from 1 species